GGAUCACUUUAUGAGAUUUCUCACUGAAACUAGACAACUUCCUCUGUUAUGGCACCAAUCACUUAUUGCAUUUGUGCACAGGUACAAAAAUCAACUACAGGACAAAAAUAAAGAUCGUUUAAUGAUUCUAUUGCAAAAGCAUGAACCAUUUACGCAUGAGAUCAUUAGAGAGCUAAACGAUAACUAGUUGCGUCAGACCUUCAAUGAAUCUUUUGAACCUGGCAUACCAUAAUAUGAAGCUAAGAUAUCUAUACACAAGUUUAUUUUUUUUAUUUUUAGAUAUUAACAGAGUUAAGUUUUAAUUUUAACAAAAAUAAUGUACAUUUUUUUUCUUCUGUUAAUGUAAUAGUG